CACGUAGGGCGCAAGCGUUGUCCGGAAUUAUUGGGCGUAAAGAGCUCGUAGGCGGUCUGUUGCGUCCGCUGUGAAAACCCGGGGCUUAACCCUGGGCUGGCAGUGGAUACGGACAGACUAGAGGUAGGUAGGGGAGAAUGGAAUUCCCGGUGUAGCGGUGAAAUGCGCAGAUAUCGGGAGGAACACCGGUGGCGAAGGCGGUUCUCUGGACCACUACGUGACGCUGAGGCGCGAAAGCUAGGGGAGCAACAGG
rnacentral:rRNA from 1 species